rnacentral:rRNA from 1 species
AGUUAGUUCGCGCGUUACUCACGCGUCCGAAGGGCGAAUUGGGGGCCGCUAGGUUCCAUUCGCCCUGUAGUGAGUCGUAUUAAGGAAAGUUUUUCGGUGAGGGAUGGACUCGCGGCCUAUCAGCUUGUUGGUGAGGUAAUGGCUCACCAAGGCGACGACGGGUAGCCGGCCUGAGAGGGCGACCGGCCACACUGGGACUGAGACACGGCCCAGACUCCUACGGGAGGCAGCAGUGGGGAAUAUUGCACAAUGGGCGAAAGCCUGAUGCAGCGACGCCGCGUGAGGGAUGACGGCCUUCGGGUUGUAAACCUCUUUCAGCAGGGACGAAGCUUUUGUGACGGUACCUGCAGAAGAAGCACCGGCUAACUACGUGCCAGCAGCCGCGGUAAUACGUAGGGUGCGAGCGUUGUCCGGAAUUAUUGGGCGUAAAGAGCUUGUAGGCGGUCUGUCGCGUCUGCUGUGAAAACUCGGGGCUUAACCCCGAGCCUGCAGUGGGUACGGGCAGACUAGAGUAUGGUAGGGGAGACUGGAAUUCCUGGUGUAGCGGUGGAAUGCGCAGAUAUCAGGAGGAACACCGAUGGCGAAGGCAGGUCUCUGGGCCAUAACUGACGCUGAGAAGCGAAAGCGUGGGGAGCGAAUGGGAUUAGAUACCCCAGUAGU